AGUGAACGCUGGCGGCAGGCCUAAUACAUGCAAGUCGAACGGCAGCACAGCAGAGCUUGCUCUGUGGGUGGCGAGUGGCGGACGGGUGAGGAAUACAUGGGAAUCUGCCCAGUCGUGGGGGAUAACGUAGGGAAACUUACGCUAAUACCGCAUGCGCCCUUCGGGGGAAAGCCGGGGACCUUCGGGCCUGGCGCGAUUGGAUGAGCCCAUGUCGGAUUAGCUAGUUGGCGGGGUAACGGCCCACCAAGGCGACGAUCCGUAGCUGGUCUGAGGGGAGGAUCAGCAACACUGGAACUGAGACACGGUCCAGACUCCUACGGGAGGCAGCAGUAGGGAAUAUUGGACAAUGGGCGCAAGCCUGAUCCAGCCAUGCCGCGUGAGUGAAGAAGGCCUUCGGGUUGUAAAGCUCUUUUGUCCGGAAAGAAAGGCUUCGGGUUAAUACCCUGGAGUCCUGUCGGUACCGGAAGAAUAAGCACCGGCUAACUUCGUGCCAGCCGCCGCCGUAA
rnacentral:rRNA from 1 species